UGGGGAAUAUUGCACAAUGGGGGAAACCCUGAUGCAGCGACGCCGCGUGAAGGAAGACGUAUUUCGGUAUGUAAACUUCUAUCAGCAGGGAAGAAAACAGACGGUACCUGACUAAGAAGCCCCGGCUAACUACGUGCCAGCAGCCGCGGUAAUACGUAGGGGGCAAGCGUUAUCCGGAUUUACUGGGUGUAAAGGGGGCGCAGACGGCCAUGGCAAGCCCGGUGUGAAAGGCAGGGGCAUAACCCCUGGACUGCACUGGGAACUGUCAGGCUGGAGUGCCGGAGGGGUAAGCGGAAUUCCUGG
rnacentral:rRNA from 1 species